CCUACGGGAGGCAGCAGUGGGGAAUAUUGCACAAUGGGGGAAACCCUGAUGCAGCGACGCCGCGUGAGUGAAGAAGUAUUUCGGUAUGUAAAGCUCUAUCAGCAGGGAAGAAAAUGACGGUACCUGAUUAAGAAGCACCGGCUAACUACGUGCCAGAAGCCGAGGUAAUAAGUAGGGGGCAAGCGUUAUCCGGAUUUACUGGGUGUAAAGGGAGCGUAGACGGCAGCACAAGUCUGGAGUGAAAUGCCGAGGCUUAACCCCGGAACUGCUUUGGAAACUGUGCAGCUAGAGGGCAGGAGAGGUAAGUGGAAUUCCUGGUGUAGCGGUGAAAUGCGUAGAUAUUAGGAGGAACACCAGUGGCGAAGGCGGCUUACUGGACUGUAACUGACGUUGAGGCUCGAAAGCGGGGGGAGCAAACAGGAUUAGAUACCCCUGUAGUC
rnacentral:rRNA from 1 species